AGUACCGUCUCUCCAAGCGCGAGCAACAGCAGCUGGAAGGUGGGACAGAUGCAGAUUCUAGGUUUCUACCUAAAAUCUCCUGAGCCAGAACUGUGGAGGAGGGGAAGUGAUCAGAAGUCAAAGUGAUGAAGGAAGGCAGCUAGCCAUGCUUCAGAUUCUUCUGAUGGCCCUCAAGUCUGAGAAAGAGCCUCAAGCCCAAGAGAAACUCUGUCGAUGCAGUAAUACUGAAAAGGACUCUCAGUGAACAAGCCCUACGUAUGUGCUCAUUAUACAUGUAUUACGGCCUU
rnacentral:lncRNA from 1 species